rnacentral:rRNA from 1 species
UACAGAGGGGGCAAGCGUUAUUCGGAAUUAUUGGGCGUAAAGGGCGCGUAGGCGGCCUGGCAAGUGGAAGGUGAAAUCCCUCGGCUUAACCGAGGAACUGCCUCCCAAACUGCUUGGCUUGAGACCGGGAGAGGUGAGUGGAAUUCCCAGUGUAGCGGUGAAAUGCGUAGAUAUUGGGAGGAACACCAGUGGCGAAGGCGGCUCACUGGACCGGUACUGACGCUGAGGCGCGAAAGCCAGGGGAGCAAACGGG